AGCUCCGCCGCGCCGAGCGCCCCUCGACACCCUUCCCCCUCCGCUCUUCAGUGGGCCGGAGUCGGUGACAGGAAUCGGCUUCCAACAUGGCGGACAGGAAGCGGCCCCGCGAGGAGGAGAGAACAUUCCAGCCGCGCCGGCUCUGGGGGGAGCGGGCCCGGGGCGCCGGCCUCGGGAGGAGGCGCGAGGGCACACUGCCGGAUCCGGUGCCCAAAAGGGGCGUCUAGAGGUGGAAAUAACCCAAGAAACGGGGGGUCCCGGCCACCCCCCCCAGACGGGGAACCCCAAGGCCACAGGUGGGCUUGGGGUGGCGGGUGAGGGAGGACACUUCCUCAACUCUGCCCACCUACCCUCGCCUCGCCGCCUGCAAAAGGGUCUCGCGACACCACCCGAGUCGGAAUUAGAUUUAUGUUCAUCAUUUUUACAUGAAAAUAAAUCAUACCACUUAAGCUAGAGCCUUGCUGCUCAGUGUGACCCACAAACAGUUGCAUCAGCGUCUUCUAAACACAGAAUCGCAACCCUGCCCUAGAGGACUCAAUCAGCAUCUGCGUUUAACAGGAUCCUCCAGUCAGCAGUGAUGAAAGCAAAUGAGGAUCUGGACAUCAUGGAGCUCAUGUUUUAAUGGAACAUGCAGAGAAUUAACACACAAAGAAAUAAGAUAAAUUCAUAUUAUGGUAAGUAUUGUGAAGGAAAUAAACAUGGCAAUGAAAUAAAGCCACUUUAAACAGGUAAUAAUAACAGGAUGUUAUUUGUAGGGUUUCUCAACCUCUGCACUAUUGUCAUUUGGGACUGGAUAAUUCUUUCUUUCAGGGGGCCGUCCUGUACAUUCUAGAAUGUUUAGGAGCAUCCUUGGCUUGUACCCACUAGAUAACAGUAACAUACAACCCCACCAGUUGCGACAGUCAAAAUGUCUCCGGAAGGGUUCUGGGUGGCUCAGUCGGUCGAACUUCCAACUCUUGAUUUUGGCUCAGGUCAUGAUCCCAGGGUGGUGGAAUUGAGCCCUGCAUCUGGUUCUGUGCUGAGCAUAGAGCCUGCUUAAGAUUCUCUCUACCCCUGCCCCUCUGGGGUGCCUGGGUGGCUCAGUCAAUUAAGCCUGGGACUCUUGAUUUCAGUUCAGGUCCUGAUCUCACACCUCAUGGGAUGGAGCCCUGCAUUGGGCUCUGUGCUGACAGUGUAGAGCCUGCUUAAGAGACUCUCUCUUUCCCUCUCUCUCUCUCUCUCUGCCCCUCCCCUGCUCACACGUGCUCUCUAAGGAAGAAAGAAAGAAAGAAGUUAAAAAGAAAAAAAAGAAGUAAGUUUGAACAGAAGAAUGGGUAGAAAUUGAAGUUCAACCUAGAACAUGGGACCAGAAACUAAAAUAGCUUGGAGUAGCCACUAAGUGAAAGGAGUGGAUAGCAAGUGGGCAAAUAUUCUGACUCCUAAUUCCUGAAGAUCUU